CAGUAGCCGCGGGAAUACGAAGGGGGCUAGCGUUGCUCGGAAUCACUGGGCGUAAAGGGUGCGUAGGCGGGUCUUUAAGUCAGGGGUGAAAUCCUGGAGCUCAACUCCAGAACUGCCUUUGAUACUGAAGAUCUUGAGUUCGGGAGAGGUGAGUGGAACUGCGGGUGUAGAGGUGAAAUUCGUAGAUAUUCGCAAGAACACCAGUGGCGAAGGCGGCUCACUGGCCCGAUACUGACGCUGAGGCACGAAAGCGUGGGGAGCAAACAGGAUUAGAUACCCGUGUAGUCCCUGUCUCUUAUAA
rnacentral:rRNA from 1 species